GUCAUCAUUAAGCUCGGUGGUAGAGCGUUUGCACUGGAAUCGCAAAGGUCAUGGGUUUGAAUCCCAUUGGAGCCU